GUUGUUGUUCUUCUCUCCUCUCCACACUGUUGCUCGAAUUGAAGGCAUGCAAUGGAAUGUAAGACAGGAGCAACGACAAAGAGGCCUAAUGUGUGGGAUGAAUUUAAGAAAACUUUUGUUCAUGUAGGGGAUCCUCCCGUGGAAGUUAGAAAAGGAAAAUGUAAGAUGUGUGACAAGUUGAUCGCUGCUGAUUUGAAGUUGAACGACACCUCUGCAAUGUGGAAACAUCAUGCUUUCGUGUUUGAAGAAACAACAAGUUGGAAAGACUCAAAUGAAGCUUAACCAAGAAGGAUCGGGGCCCCUUAUUAGUUGGAGAUUCAAUCAAACUUAGUCUAGGAUAGCUUUAUGCAAGUAUAUUAUCCUUGAUGAACUUUCCUUCAGAGACGUGGAGAAAGAAGGAUUCAAAAUUUUCAUGGCAGAAAUAUGCCCUAUGUUCCAAAUCCCGAGCAAAUAUACGGUACGAGCUGAUUGCGUGAAGAUGUUUUUGCAGCAGAAGGAAUAGUGAGACGCCUUCGAUUGCUUGAAGUGAAGUGUAAAUGUUGAUGAUUGCGAUUUUUGAGUAUUACUUUGAUGGAUGAUGAUGGUUUAUAUUGAUUUUAGACCUUUUAGUUUGAUGAAUGAUGAUGGUUUACAUUGGAUUUAAA